rnacentral:tRNA from 1 species
AAUUUUAUAGUUAAAAAAAAUAACAUUAGAUUGCAAUUCUAAAAUUAUAAAUUAAAAUUCAUUAAAAUUU